GUGCUUGCUUCAGCAGCACAUAUACUAAAAUUGGAAUGAUACAUAGAAGAUUAUCAUGGCCCCUGUGAAAGGAUGGAACGCAAAUUCGUGCAGUGUUGCAUAUUUUU
ensembl:snRNA U6 U6 spliceosomal RNA